rnacentral:SRP_RNA from 1 species
GCUGGGUGUGGUGGUGCACACCUGUAAUCCCAGCUACUCGGGAGGCUGAGGCAGGAGAAUCGCUUGAACCUGGGAGGUGGAGGUUGCAGUGAGUCGAGAUCACACCACUGCACUCCACCCUGGGCAACAGAGCGAGACUUUGUCUAAA